rnacentral:rRNA from 1 species
GGACCCGCACAAGCGGUGGAACAUGUGGUUUAAUUCGAUGCAACGCGAAGAACCUUACCUGGUCUUGACAUCCUGCGAACUUUCUAGAAAUAGAUUGGUGCCUUCGGGAACGCAGUGACAGGUGCUGCAUGGCUGUCGUCAGCUCGUGUCGUGAGAUGUUGGGUUAAGUCCCGUAACGAGCGCAACCCCUAUCCUUAUUUGCCAGCACAUUAUGGUGGGAACUAUAAGGAGACUGCCGGUGAUAAACCGGAGGAAGGCGGGGACGACGUCAAGUCAUCAUGGCCCUUACGACCAGGGCUACACACGUGCUACAAUGGGAUGGACAAAGAGUCGCGAAGCCGCAAGGUGUAGCU